rnacentral:tRNA from 1 species
GGCUGGAGAGAUGGCUCAGCGGUUAAGAGCACUGACUGCUCUUCCAGAGGCCCUGAGUUCAAUUCCCAGCAGCCA